AUGUUAGACACUGCUGGUUUAUCUAAGGCAUGGUGGGGGGAGGCUCUAUUGACUUCAUGUCAUGUCCUGAAUAGAGUUCCCAACAAUAAUAAAGAGAAAACCCCUUAUGAGGAGUGGGUUGGGAGAAAACCAUCACUUUCUUAUUUGCGCACUUGGGGAUGUUUGGCAAAGGUCAAUAUUCCUAUUCCUAAGAAACGCAAACUUGGACCAAAGACAGUGGAUUGUGUCUUUCUAGGGUAUGCUCAACGGAGCAUUGCUUAUAGGUUUUUAGUGGUAAAAUCUGAAGUACCUGAUAUGCAUGUUGAUACUAUAAUGGAAUCUCGUGAUGCAACAUUUUUUGAGAACAUAUUUCCUAUGAAAGAUAUGCAUAGCAUUGCUAGAUUUUCUUCUGAGAUAAUUCCUGAAUCUAGUACAACUGAUGAACAUUUCGAACAAUCACAUGAGGAAGUCCUUGAGAAGGAUAACAAUGAAGUUCCUAGAAGGAACAAGAGACAAAGGAUUGCAAAAUCCUUUGGUGAUGAUUUCAUUGUAUACCUUGUGGACAACACACCCAAGACGAUUGCAGAAGCAUAUGCAUCUCCGGAUGUAGAUGAUUGGAAAGAAGCUGUUCAUAAUGAGAUGGACUCAAUUCUUUCUAAUGGAACUUGGGAACUAACUGAUAGACCAUAUGGUUGUAAACCUGUGGGCUGUAAGUGGGUGUUCAAAAAGAAGCUAAAGCCUGAUGGUACUAUUGAUAAGUACAAGGCGCGGCUAGUGGCCAAGGGCUACACUCAGAAAGAAGGUGAAGAUUACUUUGACACCUAUUCACCCGUUGCUAGAAUGACCACCAUUCGAGUGUUACUUUCCUUGGCUGCCUCUUAUGGUCUUAUCAUUCAUCAAAUGGAUGUAAAGACAGCUUUUCUCAAUGGAGAGUUGGAAGAGGAGAUCUAUAUGGAUCAGCCUGACGGGUUUGUGGUAAAGGGUGAAGAGAGAAAGGUGUGCAAGUUGUUAAAAUCUUUGUAUGGUCUGAAACAGGCACCUAAGCAAUGGCAUGAGAAGUUUGAAAGAACUCUGACUUCUGCAGGAUUUGUCAUUAACGAGGCUGAUAGGUGUGUUUACUAUCGCCAUGGUGGGGGCAAUAGUGUCAUAUUAUGUUUGUAUGUGGACGACAUACUGAUCUUUGGUACAAACAUUAAUGCAAUUAAUGAGGUCAAGUCUUUUCUAUCAAAAAGUUUUGACAUGAAAGAUCUGGGAGAAGCCGAUGUAAUUCUAAACAUCAAACUUGUUAAGGAUGAGAGUGGGAUUACAUUAACGCAAUCUCACUAUGUUGAGAAGGUCUUGAACCGAUUCGGUUUUAUGGAUAGCAAGCCUUCUCCAACACCUUAUGAUCCCAGCGUGACACUCACAAAGAACAAGAAAGAAACGAGAGAUCAAUUAAGAUACUCUCAAAUUGUCGGUUCACUCAUGUACUUAGCUAGCGCUACAAGACCAGAUAUCUCUUUUGCUGUGAGCAAACUGAGUAGGUUCAUGUCCAACCCGGGUGAUGAUCAUUGGCAUGCACUAGAAAGGGUCUUGCGCUAUCUAAGAGGUACUAUGAGUUACGGAAUUACUUAUUCAGGGCAUCCUGCUGUGCUAGAAGGAUAUAGUGAUUCAAAUUGGAUCUCCGAUGUUGAUGUACUUUACGCAACAAGUGGGUAUGUAUUUACUCAUGGUGGUGGCGCAGUGUCAUGGAGGUCUUGCAAGCAAACCAUAUUGACGAGGUCAACUAUGGAAGCAGAAUUAACUGCUUUGGACACAGCUACUGUUGAGGCAGAAUGGCUGCGUUAG
rnacentral:rRNA from 1 species